AUGUCUGAGCUGUUUCCACCUCCGUCUCUUUGUCCCUGUCCUUUAUCCAGGACCUUAUGCUUUGAUUCUAGUCGUGUCUGUGGACACUCAGCCAGUGUUUGCUCCUUUCUUUGUUCAUUCCUGUUUAAUCCUUUUGUGUCUUCUUGCUGUGAUGAAAUUAUGUUACAAUGUUUUACCCUGUGCACACAGUCUAUCUUCUGUCCAGUGGCAACCCUCCAUGACGUCGUCACCCAUUUGUCCUGGAAUUUUGUCUAUCCUCCCCUGAGAAACUGUUAAGACGAGUCUUCUCAGUCACCAAGCGAGGUCAACCUGUUUGUGGCAAGCCACAACAAUCAUCGAGCAGCUGCAGUCUCUCUCUCUCUCUCUCUGUGUCAUAGUCGCGGGGAGAUGACGACAUUACCCGAAACUAAAUACACUACAGAGACCGGGAACAGGCAGAUUGUCUUGGGGCGCCAUACACUGACCACAUUGUUGAUCUGUGUAAACCAACCCGAAAUCUCCUUGAUAUAUAUUGAGCUCUAAUAAUAAAUACUUCUGCUUAAGACAUCCACGGUUUCCGUCUCCCUGAAUCAGCAUCCACUCCUUCAAUUAUUCCUUUUCACCACUGGUUUGUGAACUGUUGUUUUGUAGCCUCAAAUUAAUUUUUUUGGCCAGCACCAUCUUACCAUAUUUGGAGGAGCAGGGGUGUGUGGCCUGACUGAGAGCUCGAGGAAACUGUCAGUCACCGGACACCUCCAACCUUUAUCCAUUGGAUGGUACCAGCUGUCAAUCACACAGUAUCCACGCCUCAAUGGUUACCUUGCUUUAUCAUCUCUUUUACUCUAAAUGGACCAAAAUUUACAAAGUGAACAUCAUUCUGUAUUGAAGAAGACUUGAAACUAGAGAUUGAACCAUAAACUCCUCAGGAAAAUGCUUACUGACGUUAUAAAUCAAGUGAGAAUUAGAAUCAUUUUCUCAUAAACUAUAGAAACGGACUAACAUGAAUAGCCAAAUAACCAAUGUAAGGUUUCGAGCAUUUCAGCAUUGCUUUCGGCGGUAACUUUCAUUUUUAUCUAUAAUCUGUGGUGAAAACAGGCUUUGUGUCGUGUAACUGUCUGUUACCGGCAUGUGGACAAAUCUUUCUAGAUUGUAAAUGUGUAGACAAAUCUGCAAAUGCAUACAUUGAUCUAUAAAUGUGUAGACCAAUAUGAUUAAAUAAUAAUAAUAUUAAUAUUAAUAUUAAUAAUUUUGUAAUAUAAACAUAAUUUUAGAGUGACAUUACAGUCUGGUAAAUCGGCUUAUGUGCUAAAGUGCUGGAGAAACUGGCUAAAAUUGUAACUUCUCUGUUUCUAAGCAUUGUGUUUUGUUCGCAUAUUAAACAUGUCUUCUUAGACAAAUUGGAAAAAGGUCGAACUCGCCUUGGAAACUGAAAUGUUUUGUCCCUUGUGUUGGCGUCAAUAGAAAUAAAUGGUAAAUUAACAAAUAAGCAUGGGCAGUAAGUGUUACAUGACCAAAUCUUAUUGCAGACAUUAGAACUGAGAUCUCUUUUACAAGAAUGAACUGUGUAGAAAUGAAAUGAUUAGAAAUAUGAGAACCAACCCAACCUCUACCUGUUGUGUGGAAUUUGACUAAAAUCAAAUUUCAUGUCCAUGGUUGCAUUUGUUAAGGGGGAGUUCCUUUUCCAGCUGUUGCAGCAACCAGCUUAGAAUUUCUUCGCAGACUUUAAAAAAGAAGCCUUUCAAAAUAAAGCUUACUCUGCAAUCCAUAAUAAUUCAGGCCAAGUACUUACUCAAAUUGGAAAUGAUUAUUGCUGUAGGCCUAACUAUAUUAGAGAGCAAACCACAGUUUUACCUCAAAUGAUGUUAAUUAGGUUGUUGAGAAAGCCACAGUGCAACAAACAGGCUCCUUGGUGAAUCUUCAUAAAUUCAGUGGAGACAUUAUUGCACUAAAAUAUUCAAAAGCUUUUUAAAAAACAUUUUAACAGAUAUAAACUAUUUCCAUGAUUUGGAUAAUGAAUGAGUAGCAGCACAAAAAUAAUCCAUCUUCCCUUUAGUGUCUCAGCAUCACACAAGGCUGAGGAUCCACCUUGGAAAGCACCUGUCUUUCUCCAUUAAAAAGUGUAUUUUUCCCCAUUUGCCAUAAUGUAGUAACUAGAAUGUGUUCUAAUGCAGCCCUGUAAAACCACGGCAGAUUUGCCCAUGGUCAUAAAUUACAAGCAGACAACUGGUGAUUGCUUCUCAAAAGGGAAAACAAGUGGAUGAGACAGGUUUAGUGAGAAUUAUUCAAAUGAAUUGCUCUUGUUUGCAUAGAGAAAAGGAGAUUUUGCAAAGGCGUGCUUCCUG
rnacentral:lncRNA from 1 species